UAAGGACUGCUGUGACUCUUUGGAGU
rnacentral:misc_RNA from 1 species